rnacentral:rRNA from 1 species
AAAUUGAAGAGUUUGAUCAUGGCUCAGAUUGAACGCUGGCGGCAGGCCUAACACAUGCAAGUCGAACGGUAACAGGAAACAGCUUGCUGUUUCGCUGACGAGUGGCGGACGGGUGAGUAAUGUCUGGGAAACUGCCUGAUGGAGGGGGAUAACUACUGGAAACGGUAGCUAAUACCGCAUAACGUCGCAAGACCAAAGAGGGGGACCCUCGGGCCUCUUGCCAUCGGAUGUGCCCAGAUGGGAUUAGCUUGU